UACGUAGGGAGCAAGCGUUGUCCGGAAUCAUUGGGCGUAAAGAGCGUGUAGGCGGCCCCUUAAGUCCUGCGUGAAAUCCUGCGGCUCAACCGCAGACGGUCGUGGGAAACUGGAGGGCUAGAGUGCGGGAGAGGAGAGUGGAAUUCCCGGUGUAGCGGUGAAAUGCGCAGAUAUCGGGAAGAACACCCGUGGCGAAGGCGGCUCUCUGGAACGCAACUGACGCUGAGACGCGAAAGCGUGGGGAGCAAACAGG
rnacentral:rRNA from 1 species